UGGUUUCCUAAAGGUUUGGCCUCUUCAAGGUAGGAAAAAUACACUUCAAAAAACAACACUCAAUGGAAGCUCACAUCAACUUCUCUAUGUCAACGUACACAACUUACUUUGCUGUAUGACCAAGAAAGUACAGUUAGAGCACAGUUAGUCUCAUUUCACAUUCCAAGUUACAACACCUACAGUUUCAAACUCUGUGUUGUCUUAAGCAUUAUGUCAUCAUUCGCCUCAGCUCUGUUACAAAACAAGUCAGCAGCUACAGUUCUUCACCUUUAACAACCUACUCAGAGAGGAAAUGCACUCAUAAAUGAAUUCAAGAUUUCCUGAAACCCAGACAAACCAUCAGCUCUGACCACUACACUGCAACAAUGACUAAGUUGAAGACUCCAACUUACAGAGACGGGACAGACAAGAAAACAAACAGGACAUCUGGAGCCUAAAAGCAGAUUCUCAACAUUCCACAAGCCUUGAGGAGUUCCACUUUAAAUUCCAAGUUCAUCCAUAUAAAUCAGACUGAAACUACAAAAGUAGAAAGGAAAUAAGACACAGAAAUAGGAGGAUC